GACGAACGCUGGCGGCGUGCUUAACACAUGCAAGUCGAACGAAGAGCGAUGGAAGCUUGCUUCUAUCAAUCUUAGUGGCGAACGGGUGAGUAACGCGUAAUCAACCUGCCCUUCAGAGGGGGACAACAGUUGGAAACGACUGCUCAUACCGCAUACGAUCUAAUCUCGGCAUCGAGGAUAGAUGAAAGGUGGCCUCUACAUGUAAGCUAGCACUGAAGGAGGGGAGUGCGUCUGAUUAGCUAGUUGGCGGGGUAACGGCCCACCAAGGCGAUGAUCAGUAGCCGGUCUGGGAGGAGGAAUGGCCACCUUGGGACGGUGACACGGCCCAGACGCCUUGGGGUGGCAGCAGUGGUGAAUCUUCCGCAAUCGGCGACAGUCUGACGGAGCAACGCCGCGGGAGUGAUGACGGCCGUCGGGUUGUAAAGCUCUGUUAAUCGGGACGAAAGGCCUUCUUGCGAAUAGUGAGAAGGAUUGACGGUACCGGAAUAGAAAGCCACGGCUAACUACGUG
rnacentral:rRNA from 1 species